rnacentral:tRNA from 1 species
GGCGGAGUAGCUCAGUCGGUCAGAGCACACGGCUCAUACCCGUGGUGUCGGCGGUUCGAGUCCGCCCUCCGCUA